rnacentral:rRNA from 1 species
GAGCCUUGAUGUGUAGGAUAGGUGGGAGGCUUUGAAGUGUGGACGCCAGUCUGCAUGGAGCCGACCUUGAAAUACCACCCUUUAAUGUUUGAUGUUCUAACGUGGACCCGUGAUCCGGGUUGCGGACAGUGUCUGGUGGGUAGUUUGACUGGGGCGGUCUCCUCCUAAAGAGUAACGGAGGAGCACGAAGGUUGGCUAAUCCUGGUCGGACAUCAGGAGGUUAGUGCAAUGGCAUAAGCCAGCUUGACUGCGAGCGUGACGGCGCGAGCAGGUGCGAAAGCAGGUCAUAGUGAUCCGGUGGUUCUGAAUGGAAGGGCCAUCGCUCAACGGAUAAAAGGUACUCCGGGGAUAACAGGCUGAUACCGCCCAAGAGUUCAUAUCGACGGCGGUGUUUGGCACCUCGAUGUCGGCUCAUCACAUCCUGGGGCUGAAGUAGGUCCCAAGGGUAUGGCUGUUCGCCAUUUAAAGUGGUACGCGAGCUGGGUUUAGAACGUCGUGAGACAGUUCGGUCCCUAUCUGCCGUGGGCGCUGGAGAACUGAGGGGGGCUGCUCCUAGUACGAGAGGACCGGAGUGGACGCAUCACUGGUGUUCGGGUUGUCAUGCCAAUGGCACUGCCCGGUAGCUAAAUGCGGAAGAGAUAAGUGCUGAAAGCAUCUAAGCACGAAACUUGCCCCGAGAUGAGUUCUCCCUGAGACUUUAGGUCUCCUGAAGGAACGUUGAAGACGACGACGUUGAUAGGCCGGGUGUGUAAGCGCAGCGAUGCGUUGAGCUAACCGGUACUAAUGAACCGUGAGGCUUAACCUU